ACUCGCAACAAGAAAAGAAGAAUUUACGACAAAAAAAGAAAAACUCCAAAAAACAAUCACCUCAUAUCUUUACACCACUUGUCCUCUUCUUCUUCCCUCUCUCCACUCUCUUGAAGGGGAAAUCACUGCUUCUUCUUCUUCCUCUU
rnacentral:ribozyme from 13 species